rnacentral:rRNA from 1 species
GACGAACGCUGGCGGCGUGCUUAACACAUGCAAGUCGAACGGAAAGGCCCGGCUUUUGUGGGGUGCUCGAGUGGCGAACGGGUGAGUAACACGUGAGUAACCUGCCCUUGACUUUGGGAUAACUUCAGGAAACUGGGGCUAAUACCGGAUAGGAGCUCCUGCUGCAUGGUGGGGGUUGGAAAGUUUCGGCGGUUGGGGAUGGACUCGCGGCCUAUCAGCUUGUUGGUGGGGUAGUGGCUUACCAAGGCUUUGACGGGUAGCCGGCCUGAGAGGGUGACCGGCCACAUUGGGACUGAGAUACGGCCCAGACUCCUACGGGAGGCAGCAGUGGGGAAUAUUGCACAAUGGGCGGAAGCCUGAUGCAGCAACGCCGCGUGCGGGAUGACGGCCUUCGGGUUGUAAACCGCUUUCGCCUGUGACGAAGCGUGAGUGACGGUAAUGGGUAAAGAAGCACCGGCUAACUACGUG